rnacentral:rRNA from 1 species
UACGAAGGGGGCUAGCGUUGCUCGGAAUUACUGGGCGUAAAGGGCGCGUAGGCGGAUUGCUAAGUCAGGGGUGAAAUCCUGGAGCUCAACUCCAGAACUGCCUUUGAUACUGGCGAUCUUGAGUCCGGGAGAGGUGAGUGGAACUGCGAGUGUAGAGGUGAAAUUCGUAGAUAUUCGCAAGAACACCAGUGGCGAAGGCGGCUCACUGGCCCGGUACUGACGCUGAGGUGCGAAAGCGUGGGGAGCAAACAGG